ACGAAUAUGCCAGGAAUAUGAACAAAUGUCUUACCCUUUCGGAGAUCGUACUAUUCUUGGGAGAGCACUAAAGACAUUCCAAUUAUCCUUUUAUCCAUUGUGAAUAUUCACUUUGUUUAAAAACAGUUUAUAAAAACUUUAUUUCUUUAAAACAAUGAUAUUUAUCAAUUAAAACAUGCAAACAUUUGUUAAACAGAAACAAAUAAGAGUGCAAAGAAUUGGAUAAAGGCUCAAAU
rnacentral:lncRNA from 1 species